GGAGCCUGCGCAGUGUGCAUGAAGAACAGCAGCUCAAUGCCUCCUGAGGACCAGGACAAAGGAAAGGUCAAGGCUGACUUCAUAUUCCUUAAGAUGCAUCUUCUGUGUGAUGAUUUUCAUCUUGGUCCUGAUUGUUUUGGAAAAUUUUGGAAGCCUGUCAUCAUUGCUGCCUACUUGGGCAUUUCUGCAAUUGUCAUAUUUAUCUGGAGAGUUAUCCUUCCUGUAAAGCCUCAUGUGUAUCAAGGUAA